rnacentral:rRNA from 1 species
AUGGCGCUGCGCGACGUGCUGCUGUCGGUGGCGCAGACGCCGCACCGGCUGCGGCGGAGGGCGCUGGUGACGUGGACGCCGGCGCAGGAGCUCAACGAGGUGCGCGACCGGUCGGGCGCGCGCAUGGCGCGGCGCCUCGAGUGGUACGACCUCGUGGGGCUCGGCGUGGGCGGGAUGCUCGGGGCCGGCGUCUUCGUCACCACCGGCAGGGUGGCCCGCGAUACGGCCGGCCCCGCCGUGUUCGUCUCCUACGUCGUCGCCGGCGUCUCCGCGCUGCUGUCCUCCUUCUGCUACGCCGAGUUCGCCGUGCGCGUCCCCGUCGCCGGCGGCGCCUUCAGCUACCUCAGGGUCACCUUCGGUGAGUUCGUGGGGUUCUUCGGGGGAGCCAACAUCCUGAUGGAGUACGUGCUGUCGAACGCGGCGGUGGCGAGGAGCUUCACGGACUACCUGGCGUCGACGUGCGGCGUCACGGAACCCAACGCGUGGAGGGUCGAGGUGGAGGCCAUCGCCAAGGGCUACAACGCGCUCGACUUCCCCGCCGUCGCGCUCAUCCUCCUCCUCACCGUAUGCCUCUGCUACAGCACCAAGGAGAGCUCGACGCUCAACAUGGUGCUCACGGCGUUCCACCUGCUCUUCUUCGCCUUCAUCAUCGUGGCCAGCUUCUGGAACGGCAGCGCGCGGAACAUGGUGACGCCCGGCGGGCUGGCGCCCUACGGAGUCCGGGGCGUCCUCGAUGGCGCGGCCGUCGUCUACUUCAGCUACAUCGGCUACGACUCGGCGUCCACCAUGGCCGAGGAGAUCCGGGACCCCGCCCGCGCGCUGCCCGUCGGCAUCGCCGGAUCGGUGCUCAUCGUCUCCGCGCUGUACUGCCUCAUGUCCGUCGCGCUCUGCGUCAUGCUGCCCUACACCGAGAUCACCGAGAGCGCGCCCUUCUCAUCGGCGUUCAGGGACAAGGCCGGGUGGAGGUGGGCGAGCAACGUCGUCGGGGCCGGCGCCAGCAUCGGCAUCGUGGCGUCGCUGCUGGUGGCCAUGCUGGGGCAGGCGAGGUACCUGUGCGUCAUCGCCAGAGCGAGGCUCGUGCCGGCGUGGCUCGCCAAGGUCCACCCUUCCACCGGCACCCCUAUGAACGCCACCAUCUUUCUAGGACUCUGCACGGCAUCAAUCGCGCUCUUCACUGAGCUGCAGAUAGUGUUCGAGAUGAUAUCGAUCGGAACACUCCUGGCCUUCUACCUGGUGGCCAACGCGCUCAUCUACCACCGGUACGCCAAGCUCGGCGCGACCCGGCCGCUCCACGUCCUCCUCUUCCUGCUGCUCCUGACACUAAGCUCAAUCGGCUUCUCCCUCUCGAGGAGGAUCGACGGGAAGUGGCGGUGGGGGAUGGCAUUGUUCGGCGCGAUGUCAGUGGCGGUCGUCGCAAUCUUCCACUGCACAGCACAGCAGGGCGCAACCAGGCCACCGUCGGAGUGGACGGUUCCUCUGAUGCCAUGGCCGGCUGCCGCGUCCGUCUUCCUGAAUGUGUUCCUCAUGACAACCCUGAAGGUGAGGUCCUUUCAGAGGUUCGGCAUCUGGAGCCUUGUGAUCACCAUCUUCUACGUGUGCUACGGGGUGCACUCCACAUACACUGCCGAGGAAAAUGAGAUCGUCAAUGCAAUGAUUCAUGACGCCAAUGCAGACAUAUUAUCUUAG